rnacentral:rRNA from 1 species
GAGCACGUAGGUGGGUUUGUAAGUCAGAUGUGAAAGCCUUCUGUUCAACGGGAGAAUUGCAUCUGAAACUACAGACCUUGAGUGUAGGAGGGGAGAAUGGAACUUCUGGUGGAGCGGUGAAAUGCGUAGAUAUCAGAAGGAACGCCGGCGGCGAAAGCGAUUCUCUGGCCUAUUACUGACACUCAGUGUGCGAAAGCUAGGGGAGCAAACGGGAUUAGAUACCCCGGUAGUCCUAGCCGUAAACGAUGGGCACUAAGUAGAGGGGUUUU